rnacentral:rRNA from 1 species
GGGCUUGACAUCCCACGAACCUGCCUGAAAGGGCGGGGUGCCCGCAAGGGAGCGUGGAGACAGGUGGUGCAUGGCUGUCGUCAGCUCGUGUCGUGAGAUGUUGGGUUAAGUCCCGCAACGAGCGCAACCCUCACCCCUAGUUGCCACCGGGUAAAGCCGAGCACUCGAGGGGAACUGCCAGCGUCAAGCUGGAGGAAGGCGGGGAUGACGUCAAGUCAUCAUGCCCCUUACGCCCUGGGCUACACACGUGCUACAAUGGCCAGUACAAAGGGACGCGAGACCGCGAGGUGGAGCAAAUCCCAAAAAGCUGGUCUAAGUUCAGAUUGCAGUCUGCAACUCGACUGCAUGAAGGAGGAAUCGCUAGUAAUCGCGCAUCAGCACGGCGCGGUGAAUACGUUCCCGGGCCUUGUACACACCGCCCGUCACACCACGAAAGCUGUCUGUACUCGAAGUCGCUGAG